CUGCCACAUCAGAAAUAAAUUCUUUUCUUUUUCUUUUUUUCUUCAUACAUGAGUAUAAUAUAUGGAUGUCAUCUAAGAGAGGGAGUUGGCUAAAGAAAAGGGGGGACAAAAUUCACUGGCAUGCAGUGGUGAUAUAUAAACAUGUGGGGAGUGAAAACAUUUCCAAUAUAUUUUUAAAUAUUUAUAUUUAACAUAUUAAAUAUUUUAAAUAAUGAUUUUGAAUUUAUUUUUAAAUACUUAUAUUUUCUCACCCCACCUACCUAUCUGAGCUGCUUUACACCUACUUAUGAGUGGUCACAUGAAGGUCAACUUGAGAAAUUACCCCAGACUUUAUCAAUCAAUAGCUAAGAGUGUGUUUACAUGAAAGAGGCAGCGUUCCCAUGUUUAUAAUUCUGACCAAUCAGAAACAGACACAGGUAUAUUGUCAGCAGAGCCGCUGAUUUUCUGAAGAUGAUUAAACAUGUCAGAGGUUAGACACAGACUAAGCAGCAGCUAUAACAGAAGGGUACAUAUUACUAAUCUGUUUGUGUGUGUGUGUGUGUGUGUGUGUGUUUAGCUCACACAGAAAUCAAAGUGAAGCCUGGACAAGAGGCCACCUUUCACUGUGCGUGUCCCAGAGCUGCAGCCAUCACCCUGCUGGAGUGGAGCAGACACGGCCUCGAUUCUUUGUUCUAUCGUAACUCGUUUCAAAGAUACCAGCCUGAGUCCUUUGAAGACCGAGUGGAGUUGAAGGAUGGAGACCUCACUUUGAUUCUGAAGAACGUCACCAUCAACGAUAAUGGCACGUACAAGUGUCGGAUUGUGUUCAGGAACAAAAACAGCACAGAGAGACCGUUCAGGGGCAUUAAGUGCUUCAUCAACCUCACAGUGACGGCCUCGGACCACACAGAUGUCAAAGUGAGGUCUGGACAAGAUGUCACUCUUCAGUGUCGGGGACCCACAGAUGCAGAUAUCACAGCAUUAGAGUGGAGCAGACCCGAGCUCGUGUCAGAGGGUUAUGUGUUCUUCUUCCAAAACCAGCACUCAGAUGAGAACUAUCAGCACGAGUCCAUCAAAGGCCGAGUGGAGCUGAGAGACUCAUCCACGAAGGACGGAGACGUUUCCAUCAUUCUAAGGAACAUCAGCAUCAGCGAUACAGGAAUAUAUGAAUGUAAGAUUACAACCAAUCACACCAUCUAUGGUGAGAGAGUCAUCAAGGAGUUCAGACACUCCAUCAACCUCACAGUCACAGACUCAGGUUUCACAGAUGAAGACACAAAUAGUGGAGGAGACGAGGGUGGAGGAGAUUGGGAUUGGACUCUUUUAUUAAUAGUUUUUCUGUCAGUUUGGGCUGUGUUUGUUGUUCCUGCUGUUUCUGCUGUCGUCAUAAUUACCUGCAAGGAACAAAAGCCGUUAUAG
rnacentral:lncRNA from 1 species